AACACUGUUAACCUGCGGUACCUGCGGAGGGAUCAUUAUAGUAUAUGGAAUCUCCAUUCUAUAAACCCACUCUGCGUAUCUUGUAACUGUUGCUUCCAUGGGACUUGGUUCCGCCACACCGGCUUCACGGCUGGUGAGCGCCCAUGGAAGGAGAAACAAAACUCUUCUUUGAAAUGUAGUCGGUCUGAACAAGUUUUUAUAAACGUUAAAACUUUUAACAACGGAUCUCAGAUCGGAAGA
rnacentral:misc_RNA from 1 species